GUACAACUUUUUUGUAUGUGGAUGGGUACACGGCACUGGUAUAAAGAAAUUAAAGGAUGGGAACCAACUAAUAAUGGCAAGGGUUAAUCACUCCCAGAGAUCUACAGAAACACCGUUAAAGACUUGGGUGAUAAUGAAGGAAGAUGGUGAAGUACUGACAGGACAUUGCAAUUGCAUGGCAGGAUUGGCAGAGUCUUGCUCUCAUGUAGG